AAUCAACGCUGGCGGCGUGCCUAACACAUGCAAGUCGAACGCGAGAGGGGCUUCGGCCCCGAUUGAGUGGCGAACGGGUGAGUAACGCGUGGGUGACCUACCUUCGAGUGGGGGAUAACGUCCCGAAAGGGACGCUAAUACCGCAUAACAUCCUGCUUUUGAAUGGGUGGAGAUCAAAGCCGGGGAUCGCAAGACCUGGCGCUUGAUGAGGGGCCCGCGUCUGAUUAGCUAGNGGUGAGGUAACGGCCCACCAAGGCAACGAUCAGUAUCCGGCCUGAGAGGGCGGACGGACACACUGGGACUGAGACACGGCCCAGACUCCUACGGGAGGCAGCAGUGGGGAAUUGUUCGCAAUGGGCGCAAGCCUGACGACGCAACGCCGCGUGGAGGAUGAAGGUC
rnacentral:rRNA from 1 species